AGUGAAUGCUGGCGGUAGGCCUAACACAUGCAAGUCGAACGGCAGCACAGUAAGAGCUUGCUCUUACGGGUGGCGAGUGGCGGACGGGUGAGGAAUACAUCGGAAUCUACUUUUUCGAGGGGGAUAACGUAGGGAAACUUACGCUAAUACCGCAUACGACCUACGGGUGAAAGCAGGGGAUCUUCGGACCUUGCGCGAUUGAAUGAGCCGAUGUCGGAUUAGCUAGUUGGCGGGGUAAAGGCCCACCAAGGCGACGAUCCGUAGCUGGUCUGAGAGGAUGAUCAGCCACACUGGAACUGAGACACGGUCCAGACUCCUACGGGAGGCAGCAGUGGGGAAUAUUGGACAAUGGGCGCAAGCCUGAUCCAGCCAUACCGCGUGGGUGAAGAAGGCCUUCGGGUUGUAAAGCCCUUUUGUUGGGAAAGAAAAGCAGCAGGUUAAUACCCCGCUGUUCUGACGGUACCCAAAGAAUAAGCACCGGCUAACUUCGUG
rnacentral:rRNA from 1 species